rfam:Gossypium raimondii Chr06_contig_1286, whole genome shotgun sequence.
UAUUAAAAACCGUUCAUUUGUACCAUUAAAAAUUAGCAUGACUAUUGAAAUAACCAGAUAAUGACGCAUGGUGUGUUACGUGUACCCUAUGUUGACAUAUAAAAACUAAUUUUUAGUAGUAAAAAUGGAUAAAAAUUUAACA